AGAGUUUGAUCCUGGCUCAGGAUGAACGCUAGCUAUAGGCUUAACACAUGCAAGUCGAGGGGCAGCGAAUAGAUAGCUUGCUAUUUAUGUCGGCGACCGGCGCACGGGUGAGUAACGCGUAUCCAACCUGCCCAUAACUAAGGGAUAACCCAGCGAAAGUUGGACUAAUACCUUAUGUAUUCGUUUGAUCUCAUGAGAUUACGAAUAAAGAUUUAUCGGUUAUGGAUGGGGAUGCGUCUGAUUAGCUUGUUGGCGGGGUAACGGCCCACCAAGGCAACGAUCAGUAGGGGUUCUGAGAGGAAGGUCCCCCACAUUGGAACUGAGACACGGUCCAAACUCCUACGGGAGGCAGCAGUGAGGAAUAUUGGUCAAUGGACGCAAGUCUGAACCAGCCAAGUAGCGUGCAGGAUGACGGCCCUAUGGGUUGUAAACUGCUUUUAUAUGGGGAUAAAGUGGGGAACGUGUUCCCUUUUGCAGGUACCAUAUGAAUAAGGACCGGCUAAUUCCGUGCCAGCAGCCGCGGUAAUACGGAAGGUUCGGGCGUUAUCCGGAUUUAUUGGGUUUAAAGGGAGCGUAGGCCGUUUGGUAAGCGUGUUGUGAAAUGUAGGAGCUCAACUUCUAGAUUGCAGCGCGAACUGUCAGACUUGAGUGCGCACAACGUAGGCGGAAUUCAUGGUGUAGCGGUGAAAUGCUUAGAUAUCAUGAAGAACUCCGAUUGCGAAGGCAGCUUACGGGAGCGCAACUGACGCUGAAGCUCGAAGGUGCGGGUAUCGAACAGGAUUAGAUACCCUGGGCAACGGUGAAACUCAAAGGAAUUGACGGGGGCCCGCACAAGCGGAGGAACAUGUGGUUUAAUUCGAUGAUACGCGAGGAACCUUACCCGGGCUUGAAUUGCAGAUGAACGAUUUAGAGAUAAUGAGGUCCUUCGGGACAUCUGUGAAGGUGCUGCAUGGUUGUCGUCAGCUCGUGCCGUGAGGUGUCGGCUUAAGUGCCAUAACGAGCGCAACCCCUUUCUUUAGUUGCCAUCAGGUUCUGCUGGGCACUCUGGAGAUACUGCCACCGUAAGGUGUGAGGAAGGUGGGGAUGACGUCAAAUCAGCACGGCCCUUACGUCCGGGGCUACACACGUGUUACAAUGGGUGGUACAGAUAGUUGGUCGUAUGCAAAUACGAUCUAAUCCUUAAAACCAUUCUCAGUUCGGACUGGGGUCUGCAACCCGACCCCACGAAGCUGGAUUCGCUAGUAAUCGCGCAUCAGCCAUGGCGCGGUGAAUACGUUCCCGGGUGCGGCUGGAACACCUCCUUUCUGGAGCAGGAUGUAAAACCUUGCUAAAGUAGCCAAACAUUUGACAACAAGAUUAAAG
rnacentral:rRNA from 1 species